GCAAACAGCAACAGGGCUCCACCUCCUACUGCACCAAUGAUGACAGCCAAAUCUGUGAGCAGAGACAGGAACACAGAGGAAGAGAUAAGAGGGUCGGCAUAAGGAAGAGCUUGAUGAAAAUCAUAGGAGUGAAGCAAAUUCUAUAUAUCAUGGAGUCAAGAAAGAAGAAUGGUAGCAAAUUGACAAAAAGGAUUCAGGCUGAAGAUCUCCUCUGCCCGGGUCUGCUGCUCCUGGAUGAUCAUGUAUGCACGCCCUGACUGGCAGACCACACCAGAACGCUCUUUGAAGAAGGUCAGACAAGCUAC